GACGAAGGUGGCGAGUGUUACUCGGAAUUACUAGGCGUAAAGCAUGGGCAGGCGGUUCGGCAAGUCUGUUGUGAAAGCUCCUGGCUUAACCGGGAGAGGUCAAUGGAUACUACCGGGCUUGAAUCGGGGAGAGGUCACUGGAAUUCCUGGUGUAGCGGUGAAAUGCGUAGAUAUCAGGAGGAACACCGAUGGCGAAGGCAGGUCUCUGGGCUGAAACUGACGCUCAUGCACGAAAGCGUGGGGAGCAAACAGG
rnacentral:rRNA from 1 species